rnacentral:rRNA from 1 species
AGAGUUUGAUCAGUUGGCUCAGGGAUGAACGCUAGCGGCAGGCCUAAUACAUGCAAGUCGAACGCUCAGUAGCAAUACUGGGAGUGGCGCACGGGUGCGUAACACGUACACAAUCUACCUCUAAGCGGGGGACACCUCCUGGAAACGGGGAUUAAUACCGCAUAAUAUGCCGAAGUCGCAUGACUUUGGUAUUAAAGCAGCAAUGCACUUAGAGAUGAGUGUGCGUCCCAUUAGGUAGUUGGUGAGGUAACGGCUCACCAAGCCUAUGAUGGGUAGCCGGUCUGAGAGGAUGGUCGGCCACACGGGCACUGAGACACGGGCCCGACUCCUACGGGAGGCAGCAGUAAGGAAUAUUGGUCAAUGGUGGAAACACUGAACCAGCCAUGCCGCGUGGAGGAAUAAGGUCCUACGGAUUGUAAACUCCUUUUGACGAGGAAGAAAAUGUUAGAUUUAUCUAAUUUUGACGGUACUCGUAGAAUAAGCACCGGCUAACUCCGUG